UUCCUUUCCUCUGUUGUCGUCUUUCCCUUCGCAAAGGAGCACGCACAUGCCGUGGGUGGAUGUCGUGGUCCUCUCUUCCUUCACAACCACCGCACCACCACAUGCUCCCUUCUCUUUUUAAUCUCCAUCCAAAAACCGCAGGAAACCCUAGCCCUCCUCCCUCUGGCCGCCGCCACUAUCUCCUCUUCUCCCCACCUUUCUCUUUUUCUCUUUGUGAACAAAACGAAGAAACACUGCCACCACCGUCCUCACCAUGGCUUCGCCUCCACAGACCACCCCCCGUCGUUCUGAGGGCACCGACAGAUGCGCCUUGAUGUCCUUGUUCUCCACUCCGGAGGAAUCGAGCUCACACGCUCCCGGUCGCCGCCAAUCCCGCCGUUUCUCCUUCGUCUCCGGCAGCAAAAUUCGGCAAUUCCGGGCGGCCUAGUCCUCCCCCGGCGAUCUUGACCUCACCAGCGUGGUCCUGGAGCUCGUCGCCGGCGACACUCCGGUGCAUCCCCGGCCAUCCCACCACCUGCAGCUGAACCGCUACGUCAAGGCGCACCCUCAACGCCAUCUGUCUCGUCCCGGGGCGCUCCCAUCCGCCGAAUCCAUCACACACCUGCUCCUCCGCCAUGGCUGCAAGCUCUUCCUCACGUCCUCGGCUGGUUAAAGUUCUGUCCAGCUUCGUUUCUACAACAAUAGCAUCAGUAGCACACUGAUCUCACGACCAAGAUGUUUCCAUACGUGUAGAACCUUUUCUAUAUCAGCAACAGAGACGUAGCUUGUCUGAUCCGGCGCCUACUGGGCCUUGGCCCGUGUCCUUGCCAGCUUCUUCGAUGCCAAGCGCGCAGCAGACCGCUAUCCGCUGCUCAGCAUUUGCUUCUUCCCGGAUAGGAUCGCGAAGUGGUGUGGUGAGAUACGACGAGUUCUCCGGAUGUCCCUCGACAAGCUUUAACAGGCAAGCAUUUCCCCUAUACCCCUGCCCCUGCAGGAGUCGCUUACCUAUUUUAUUUUGCCUUCUCCCUCAUGCUAUCCCUAAGUUGCGUUCUUGUCACGUGUCCUUUCCACUUGUUACCUCAAGCAGCCCAUAUUGCCACCACCACCUCCUACAGCUAUUGUUUGGUUAUUGUGUCUGCCUUGCGAGUCGUAGUGCAUG